ACACAUUGGUGACCUGUCCAGGGUGAACCUGCCUGUGCCUGCUGGGAUAGGCUCCAGCCCUCCAUCCACACCCUGACAAUCACAUGUGGACAGACUAACUUCUUUUUUAGAUUGUUCUAGAAAGUCUGUUGUGAUGUGUUAAGCAAUGUAUUCAUAUUUAAUUCAAAAAAAGAAUCAAUGAUUUUCUAUAAAUUUGUGAUGCAUUUUUGUUUACUGAUUCCAAGAUGGUGUAGUGGUCUUUAGAGAAAUCCUGUUUGGAUUUUUAAAUGUUAUUUCUGUUUUCUGUUGCUAGCGCAGCUCUGCAGUCACUAUCCAGGUGGGUCAGUGGGAGCAGAAGCCCUCUGCUGAUGUACAGGCUCUGAUCAGCAACAUCCAGCAAGACCCACACAGCCUCUUCUUGCUGGAGCUUUUUGUUUGCCUGUGACUGGAGAGUCAGAUUUCUAUUCGGGGGUUGCAGCUUUCCUGUUCUGGAGAAACCACUUCACACCUGCAGAGGUGGAUCGUGAUAUGAUUGUGACCCGGGCUGUCACCUUUGGUCUUGUGAGGAAGCAAAGCUCAGAAAGAAGGAAUCCCUGCAGUCCUGUUCUUUUAGCUCCAAGCCUGCUCAGCUUUAAUCACAGAGGAAGCAGCAGAGCAGCAGACAGUUUGAGAGGUUUGGGCUGACAGAUGGUGACAGCAUGGAGAGACUGUGGUCCUUACCCUGAAGAACUGCAGGAGUCACAGAGGAGAUGAGUCCAUCUCACUGUCUGGACUUGCUGACUGAUGUUCUUCUGCACUGCAGAUGCUGAGUAUGACUUCAGAGGCCAGCUGGUCUGCAGAGUUACAAGUGAAUCAAGGCGGAGGGCAGUCUGCCUGCAGCUUCAAAGAAAACAUGCAGGUGAAGACUCAGAUGGGCAGGAUCUCAGCAUCAGACUGUCCAAACAGGCUCCAGCUUCAACAGCAGACUGAGACAGACAAAAGAAAACCGCAGCUUCAGUGGGCUCCACAGGUCAAAGGUGACGUUUUAAAGAGUCUUCAGAGAGAAGGGACUGAUGUCACGUGUCGAUCACAGCGAUUAUGAAGAUGACAGCAAGAGCAACUACGACUGUAAAAGUCUGACCACGACUGUUUUGCACUUGUUUUACAAACAAAAAUCAAAAAAACUCAGUUUAACUGAAAAAACUGCAUUUUUACAGGCCACACUCACUGCACAUAAGAAAAGAAUAAUUUAAUCACUGAUGACUUAGUGACUUUAUAAAAGCUUUAAGUAGAGCCAGCUUUGAAUAUUAACACUUACCAUAUUGUACCUGUACAGCGUGUUUAUGUACAUGUAUGAUGCAUGAGAUGUUUUUCACGUUGAGGUCAUUUCCUGAUUUCUUUUGUAAUCUUUCUUGGUUUUCUCUUCGUUGGAACUGAUUGUGAGUCAGUGUGUAACCUCACCUGCUUCAAGUUUUUUGAUUUCUGUUUAUUUAAAUUUCUGUUUCAUUUUGAUCUGUGUUGUGUGACCCUUGCAGACUGUUUUGUGGACUGCUCGCCUCGCUGUGUGUACCCACUGCCUGUU